ensembl:misc_RNA Metazoa_SRP Metazoan signal recognition particle RNA
GCUGGGCGCAGUGGCACGUGCCUGUAGUCGCAGCUACUUGGGAGGCUGAGACUGGAGGAUCUCUGAGUACAGGGGUUCUGGGCUAUAGUACGCUAUGCUGAUUGGGUGUCUGCACUAAGUUCAGCAUCAGUCUGGUGACCUCCCGGGAGCGGGGAACCGUCAGGUUGCCUAAGGAGGGGUGAACCGGCCCAGGUCGUAAGCGGAGCAGGUCAAAACUCCCGUGCUGAUCAGCAGUGGGACUGCGCCUGUGAAUAGCCACUGUACUCCUGCCUGGGCAACAUAGUGAGACCCCGUCUCUU